CGAGCACACAGCGAUCCUCGAAAGGAGGGAGGGGCAAAGUACUGCGCUUUGUUGGGAUGAAUGCAACUACAAGUCGAUGGCUCUCGCGAUUUAGGUAAUAAAUGAAACACUCAGGCUGGCAAAUACUGCUCUAGGGCAAAUGCGAAGAGCAGUACGAGAUAUCCUAGUGAACGGAUUUGUGAUCUCAAAAGGUUGGCCGAUCAUGCUAGUCACGACCGCUCUCCACAUGAAUCCCAAGGUGUUCGACAAUCCUCUUGAAUUUAACCCUUGGCGCCGGAAGGUGCGCGACUGGAACUCUUCGAUUAAUAUUCAUGGACUGACU